rnacentral:lncRNA from 1 species
CAAAGAUGUUUAUUAUAGCAUAUAACACUAUAAUACUUAUAAUAUUAUACAUAAGCAUUAUACCUAAGUAUCCAACAACUGAGCAAAAGUUAAAUAAAUAAUGGUAUAUCCAUUUGAUUAAAAGUCAUGCAGCCAUGAAAAGUUAUGGUCUUGAAUAAUUAACUGGGAGAUGUUAUAAAACAAUGUUAGACAAGCAAAGCCGUUAACUGGGUUGUUUGUAUUGCAUGAGUUCUAUUAUUUUUUUUUUAAAGUAGGAAAACACUAGAUGGAAGAAUGCCAAAUGUUACUAGUAGUUGCCUCUGGAUGGUAGGACCCAGGAUUAUAACUGACUUAUCUUCUGCUUUAAAAAAACAAGAACAGGAGCUCCCUGGUGGCUCAGCAGGUUAAGGAUCUGGCUUUGUGGCUGCUGUGGCAAGGGUUUGAUCCCUGGCCAUGGGACUUCUGCAUGCCGAAGGAAUAGCCAAAAAAAAAAAAAAAGUAACUUUCCAUACUUUCUAAAUUUUUUUUCAAUUAUCACAUUAAAAAUUUAUAGCCAGUAAAAUAAUCAAUUAAAAGGAAGUUAUUCAAUGGCCUUCCCUACUCUGUCGUCAGUUUUGAACCUCAAGGAUGUACCUGGACCAGCUAGCAUUUAGGUUUAACUCUGCAAACCUGUUUACUUGUAUUCCUCUACCCCACUUUGUUGCUGUUAUUUCAUUAGGCAUAUUUACUUAUGGCAAGGGUAAGAAGGGGAACACAACAUUUUUGAUCUACCAAGGAAGUACACUGUCCUACUUCUUUGAAAAAAGAUGGAAAGAAUUUUUUUCUUUUUUAUGGCUGCACCCUUGGCAUACGGAGGCUCCCAGGCUAGGGGUCAAAUUGGAGCUGUAGCCACAGGUCUACGCUACAACCACAGCAACGCCAGAACCGAGCCGAGUCUGCAACCUACGCUACAGCUCACAGCAACGCCGGAUCCCUAACCCACUGAGCAGGGCCAGGAAUCAAACCUGCAUCCUCUUGGGUACUAGUCAGGUUAGGGCUCAUUACCGCUGAGCCAGGAUGGAAACUCCAAGAUGGAACUAAUUUAUCUGCAAGGCUGAUUUAAAACAACACCUGUUGAAAGAAGUCAGGAAGUCUAUCAGUUUGAGACUUUUUCCUUUUUCCUCUACCAUUUCUAAUCCUGGGCAUUGUGCUCCUGAAUCUCAUUCCAAGGUUCUAACUCUGGACCACUGGCUAGCCACAUGAAUAACACACCUGAGAUGAGGAAAACAAACAUGCAAAAGCACAAGACAUCUUGCCUUGGGUGGGAAUCUGCAUCUCCAGAACAGGGAAUUUCCAUUCAUGAUAGGGGAAAGUAAAUACAGAAAGAAUUGAUGAAAGAUGAAUGAAAGGAAGAGGGGAAAUGUGGCUUUCUUAGACAUGACUUGGCUCUCUCAAUUUAGAACCAUGCCUGGAAAUGAAAGAGACCUAGUCGCAUUGUUGGGCUCUAGAGUUUCUUUAACAAGGGGUUUCACUAUAGCCCCAGAGAAAAGUAGUCUUUUUCUUUAGGUGAGGACCAGGACUCUAGAAUUUGAACUCCUGUAGCCAUAGGUAAGUGGCUGGGAGGGGAAGAAAAGAUAGGCUAUGAUGAUAAACUGAACCAUUAGAGCAGACUCUCUCAAUUUUAGUGCACUUAAAAGGUAAGCAGGGGUAGGGAGGGGUAGGAGUUAACAGGGAUACUGUUUAAAUUGCCGAUUCCUCGACUCUACCACCAGGAAUUCUGAUUUAAUAGGUAAGGGGUAGAGACAAGAACACUGCAUUUUUAUCAAACAAUUCCCACCACAACCACCAAAAGGAUUCCGGAUGCAUUGAGCACAGCUUUAAAAAUCUAGAGAUUGAGAUUAUAGACAAAACACUGUGCAUGUAUGCACUUUUUGGAGAAAGUCUUUAGCUAUCAUUAGAUUCUCAAGGAGUUCCAAAAUUCAAGACUGCUAAGAAUUGUCUUGAAAAGCAAAAAAGAACUUGGGAAGCACCAAGUCAGAGGGGCAAGGGCAAGGUUUUAGAAAAAGACCAAAACCUACAAAGCCAAUCUAUUAGAAACCAAGUAGAACUAGGAUGGAGUGAAGUGAAAGCCGGUGGGGGUGGAGAACGCUGAGGAUAUAUCUAAACCAUUUUCACUGUAAGAAUGGAUUGUUAAUAGCUAAUUUUUAUUAGCCACAGGGACUUGGUGGAUGGGUGUGUGACUUGAAGGCAUAGGGGUCAGGGAGACAUCAGCUCCAGAGGACAGUAAUAGGAGGGAAGGUCAGUGGGUUUUCCUAGGCAAACUCCAAGGUCAUGGCAGACUCCAAGGUCAUGGAGAUAAGGGAAGAAAAGGUGGCUGCCUCUGGGCUUUUACAAUCUGGAGCUCAGCUGCUCUAAGAAGCUACGUACUCUCGGGUAGAUGUGGUGGGGCACGUCUGAGGCGGCGGUAGCUGAGACAGGGCAGCAGUGAUAGAGGCGGUCACCAUGAACCCAAAUAGCUGGCAUCAUUCCCUACCUCCCUGCACUCUCAGUCACGGUGCACGGGAGGACCAGCCUAGAGACUGUGCUCAAAGAUGCUGAGACUGCAAGGAGCAGGCUCUGCCAAAACGGGGAAAAGGGAGGGAACUGGGUUCCAGCCAGUACUCUAGCAGAUGCUCAGAGAGACUGACUUUGUUAGAGGAAUGAGCCUAUUUCCACAUCCUCUUGGUUGUCCUUUGUGAACUGAGGAAAAAACGAUGACAAAUAUUAUCAUAAAAUGUUUACUUCCUGGACCAAAUCUUUGUUAGCUAAAUUCCCCUCAAAACAAAUCGUUCAUUCAUUGGUGAUAGCACAAAUCUCAUAGCCGGUUUCUCUCUAAUCUUCUGCAGGACAACUUAAGUAAUAGUCUUUAAAAUAGUCAAGUGUUCCCCGAAUGGUUAGAGAAAAAAUUGGAAAUCCUCAGAAUCCUGUUUUUAAAUAAAAUAUCACCGAGAAGCCUGAUUUAAUAAAACAGAACACAAAGCUGUUCUUAUUAAAAAAGGUCAGUGACCUGGUGUCCUCUCUGUUUAGCACCACGGGGGGCAACACCACAAACCCAGGCGGCCACGGUGGUUUGAAAUCCAUUGGCCUGCGAUGGCAGUAAAUGCGCUUCAUGACCCAAGUAUUACAUCUGCUGCCACCAUCUCCCCUUCCUAGUCUCGUUUCCUGCUUCUAUGUACCCCUGUGCCUCAACUACUUGGAACGAUUAGUUCCCAAAUAGUUUUUCACAAUUUUUUAAAACUUUUCAUGUAUACCUCUAUCCACCCUUGCUCCACACUACUCAGAAGCAAACUUCCUCUUAACAGUUCAUCAAUUAGAAUUACAUCACACCGAGUUCCCAUUGUGGUGAAGCAGAAACAAAUCUGACUAGUAUCAAUGAGAAUGCAGGUUCAAUUCCUGGCCUUGCUUAGUGGGUUAUGGAUCCAGGGUUGCCGUGAGCUGUGGUGUAGGUUGCAGAUGGGGCUCAGAUCUGGCGUUGCUGUGACUGCAGCGUAGGCCGGAAGCUAUAGCUCCAUUCAGCCCCUAACCUGGAAACUUCCAUAUGCCAAGGGUAUGGCCCUAAAAAGGAAAAAAAAAAAAGGAAUUUCAUCUCACUGUUCAAAUCGACAAGGAAUUAAUUAUAACCCAACACCAGCAUCACAUCUAAAAAAUAACAAUUACUUAGUAAAAUCAAGUAUCCAGGAUUCAAAUUUCCAAUUUUCUCAUAAAAUGUUAUUUUUAUAUCAGAAUCCAAAGAAGACCCAUAAUUUAUCUAUAAGUAUCCAUCUUUUUUCCUUUUUUUUUUUUUUUGUUUUUGUUUCCAUUUUUGGCCACCUUGUGGCACAUGGAGUUCCCAGGCAAGGGACGCCAGAUGCUUUAACCCACUGUGCCCACCGGGAAUAGAACCUGAAAAACGUCGCUGAUCCUGCUGUACCACAACAGGAACUCCCAUCUUUUUUCUCCUUACAAUUAAUUUAUUUUUUGUCAUUUGUUUUGUAACCCUUCCAUUUUGCUAAUUUCAUCCCCAUGGUGUCAUUUAACGUUUCCCACUUUCUCUGUAUUUCCUAUAAAAUAGAAAUUGGACUUACAGUUUGAUCAGACUCAGGCUUGAUU